CUACGGGUGGCUCCAGUGGGGAAUAUUGCGCAAUGGGGGAAACCCUGACGCAGCAACGCCGUGUGAGGGAUGAAGGCUUUCGGGUCGUAAACCUCUGUCAGGCAGGACGAAACAUCUAAACAUGAAUAAUGUUUAGAUCUGACGGUACUGCCAGAGGAAGUCCCGGCGUAACUCCGUGCCAGCAGCCGCGGUAAUACGGAGGGGACAAACGUUGUUCGGAAUUAUUGGGCGUAAAGAGCGCGUAGGUGGUCAGAAAAGUCAGACGUGAAAUCCCUCUGCUCAACAGAGGAAGGGCGUUUGAAACUCUCUGGCUUGAGUGUGGGAGAGGAGAGUGGAAUUCCCAGUGUAGCGGUGAAAUGCGUAGAUAUUGGGAAGAACACCAGUGGCGUAGGCGGCUCUCUGGCCCAUUACUGACACUGAGGCGCGAAAGCUAGGGGAGCAAACGGGAUUAGAUACCCUAGUAGUC
rnacentral:rRNA from 1 species